UGCAAGUGUUAGAGGGUCAAGGUUUUUAAUAAAUAUAAAAGAAAAGUAGAUAGAAUAGAAAUAGAAUAGAGAGAGCAAAUGUUAGAGGGUCAAGGUUUUUAAUAAAUAAAAAUAAAAGUAGAAUAGAAAUAGAAUAGAGUGCGCAAGUGUUAGAGGGUCAAGGUUUUUUAAUAAAUACAAAAGAAAAGUAGAUAGAAUAGAGAGAGCUAGUGUUAGAGGGUCAAGUUAUUAUUUUUAAUAAAUAAAAAGAAGAAAAGGAUAUAGAAUAAAAAAGAAUAGAAAACACUAGUGUUAGAGGGGUGACUUUUUGUAAUAAAACCAGUAGAUAGAAUAGAAAUAGAAUAAACACUAGUGUUAGAGGGUCAUGUUUUUU